rnacentral:rRNA from 1 species
AAACCACGGUGGUACAGGAUGGGCCCGCGUCUGAUUAGUUAGUUGGCAGGGUAACGGCCUACCAAGACAACGAUCAGUAGCCGGCUUGAGAGAGUCGACGGCCACAUUGGGACUGAGACACGGCCCAGACUCCUGCGGGAGGCAGCAGUGGGGAAUAUUGCACAAUGGGGGGAACCCUGAUGCAGCAAUGCCGCGUGGGUGAAGAAGCACUCCGGUGCGUAAAGCCCUGUCAGCAGGGAAGAAAAUGACAGUACCUGGACAAGAAGCCCCGGCUAACUACGUGCCAGCAGCCGCGGUAAUACGUAGGGGGCAAGCGUUAUCCGGAUUUACUGGGUGUUAAGGGAGCGCACGCGGCGUGGCAAGUCAGAUGUGAAAACCCGGGGC